AUUUGGGGUCCCUCAUGUGUGCAAUUCCUGACAGCACUGCAGAGCUCUACUCAUGCUCCUUGCACCACACUGGCAUUGCAGGCAGCAAGUAGCAGGUUGUUUGCCACGGGUGACUGAUUUUAGCCAUAUAUUUAUCUGCUUCAGCCUUGCGUGUUGAUUCCCAGCUACAUCCUGCUCUUAACAUCCCUUUUCGGAGGCACCAAAAAGAAGUGAUCUGGCUUCAACAAGAGGGGUAGAAUAUGCACACUUUCUCAGAACACACCAUAGACUGGUUGAUUAAGCACUCUUCUGGGAAGUAAAUUUGAUUUGCAGUCCUCCCCAAAAUGACAUUUCUACUGAAUUUCGUUUUCCUCUCACGCUGUAAAAGCACAUCCCAGAGGAAAUCAUCCAAUUAGACUAACAGCUGCAGAGAUUGGAAUAAGCCUUGCAUGUGAGAAAAUUAAAGAAAAUGCAGCUGAGUACUAUGCAAAGCAGUGAAGCUUGGUCUGGUGCUUGACCUUGUCAUAAGCACGCAAGACAAUGUUCAGAGCUGUCCAGCUGCUUGCAACACCACUAAUCUCUAUAUGAAAUGAAAAAAACAGACUCUCCAAUCACAUCCAUGGAGCUGAAUUUAGUGAGGAGAUAUAUAAACACCAGAAUGCACUUAUCCACUACCUUGUCUUACAUGCACGGUGUACCUUGCCAAGGGAAAGUCCAAAGGAGAAGUUGUGGAACCGCGCUUUUCAUCAGCUGUCAAGACGGUUUCUUGUAUUACCUGAAGAGAUUAACCAAAGCUCCUCAUGUUUGGAUUUGAACAGACUAGACACAUGAAGGGUUAUCUUUUUUGUGGUCACAAACUACUGGUUUGAUCUGGAAUGAUAGUUUAUAUGCCCAGCAUAUUCUGGUGUGAUGGCUUUUUGUUGUAUACACAAUUGUAACCAGUUUCAUUGCUUGCAUCAUCUAAACCUCUGUUUUUAAAAAACUUUUCUUUUAAGUAAAGGAAGAGUAGCUGCAAUCCUCUAAUCAAAUUUCUCUGAAAACAGGAGCUAAUACGUCCACAGAUGAGCUCCUGACUCCUGUCCAUCAUAACAUUUUAAACCAGAAUGCAUUUCAGAAGCACACCAAGUUCUUUGAAAUUGUUCACUGUAAUGAUUGUUGUGUUGCAGCAAAAACUGAAUAGCUGGCUAGUUUAAACUUUAUUAUUGAAAACAUCAAAGAUGUUGCUGUAAUGAUUAUUAAUUACCACGUAGCUUUGAGAAGUAGUUCCUGCCAAUCAACUUCACAUUAUUUUUAUGAGAAUAUGACUUUAUCUGACAGAUACACAGGUGCUAAUGCAAAUUUUGUAAUGCAUGACUUGAUGCCACACACCUUAGGAUUAUCAAAUGAAAGUGAAACAAAGUUAUUGUUGUGCAUACCAAAUGGAUCAAACACUUGUAAAACAGUGGUUGGUUUUUUACUCUGUUUUUGAAAGGACUCUAAUAAAAAAUCUAAGGCAUUUAGGUGAACUUCUAUGAAGAUCCUUUCAAAGAGAAAUGAUGGAAUUUAGAACUUACACCAGCUUUUGGUAAAAAAAAAAAAAAAAAAUCAUUACUUAUUAAAAAAAAAGAAAUCUUUGCCAUUCAAAGAUAACAUCAAAAAGGCAUGCUUGGCUACAAGGAAGUCAGAUGCAUGUGGAAAAAGCAAUCUUUAUUUAAAAUAUAUAUAUAUAUAUAUAUAUAUAUAUUGAUUUGUCACACACACAUAUAUAGAAGUUCCAGCGUGGCCAGAUGUUGGAAUCUGUCACAGCUGCAGACAGGAAGCUUUCACAGGAAAGCAAUUACUCUGGAACAUGGAAACAUAUAGAUAGCAGUGAUCUGUGGGUGACCUUCCAGUCCUGUCUGUAUCCAAAAGGGUUAACGUGAUCCCUGCUUGUAUUAAUGUUGUUAUUGCUGGUGGCCGUAGAUAUCUAUUUCUCAUACUGAGGAGCUUUUUGGAAAACUGAAGGAUUCAGGGGAGUGUAGCAAGAAUUAAUAAAAGGUUGAACAAAGCUUUGGAAUAAAAAGCCUGAGAAGCUUAAAUGAUUAGUUCAAUGAUGAGAACAUAAACGGGUAAUUAGAUCAGUGUCUAUAUGGUAGAGAAACUUAAUAAUGGACUUUUUAGUCUAUUAGAAAGUGUUUUUUACUUAGUGAAAAACACUAAGUAAAAAAGCUGAAGGUGGACAUAUUUGUAUUGAAGUUGGAGGAUAUCACUAGAAGGAACAACUCAGUAUUUUGGUCAGAACACAUGCACAGAUGUACAUUCUCUUAAUAUCAUUGUAAAUAAUCCACCAUUCUUUAGACAACUGCAUAUUGUGAGGAAGUAGUAACUGUUCUUUAGUUUCCAAUAAUUAUUCACACUUUCCUCUUUAGUUUCCAUUUACCAGCUGACUAAGCCCAUAAUUAUCACUAAGAAUGUGAAACUAGCUCCUGGUAUGCACCAGAGAAUGUGUUAUUGGUUUGCACAUAAGUGUAAUCAAACCAUGAUUACUUGCAGCAAUCACCAUUAAUUUUUAGGCUUGAAUUAGUUCUUCUGUACCACUAAAUAAAUAAAUAAGUAGUAACCUAGAAUUUACUCAAUUUGAAUGCUACAAUUUACAGGUUAAAAAACUCACUCAUAAUUUAUUUUACUAUAAAUAUUGGCAAAAAACUAAUUACAGUAUGCAUUUGUUUCCAUUUGAAGUCCCUUUAUUUUCAUUUUCAUUGUUAUUUUAUUUUUAAUCAAUUUGAAAUCUCUAGAGAUGCUUGACCUGUCAUUUAUCUGAUUGUCUCCAUUGUAUUUUGCCUUUCUUCAGCCAGUAUCAGAAAAUACCUCAUCUAUCCGUUUUUUUUUUUUUUUUUUGUCAGAAAACUUCUCUUAAAGCCAACAAGAUCAUUUACUUCAAAUUUCUCCUGGAUUCAGAAAACAAUGAUAACAACAUAUUAACUCCCUUCCCCCUCUUGUAUUUUUGACUCUUAUUAAAUGGGCUUCAAGCUUUUAGCUAUGGAAAUCUUCACAUCAUCUUCUCUUUUAACAGGCGUUUUCAUUUCUAACUUACUGACAAUGAUUCUGAAGCUGAUAUAUAAGCAAAUAAAAUGCUUUCUCUAAGGUCUUGGUGCUGGAGAUAUCAUUUAGUGUCAUCUUAUUUUUCUGCUAAAUUAAUAACCCUCAUCUGCUCCAUUUUUUCUGUAUGUGAACUUAUAUUUUAAUAAAAGCUAUAUGAAAAAAAAUAAUAAGAUGGAAAAAAUGUAGAUUAUUCUUUUGUUGACACUUAUUUGUAUGUUUGUCUAUUUUACUCAUUAUUUUCUUAUUUUAAAUUAUCAACAUUGCAGAGAAAUAAAAGCUUUUGAGUGUAGUGUAUAUACUUAACUAUAUUAAUGUAUAUCAUGUUAAGCAAAUAUUUAGAAUCAUAAAAUCAUUGAAGGGUUUGAGUUGGAAAGGACAUUAAAGCCCAUCCAGUUCCAAUCUCCAGCUACGGCAGGGUUGCCACCCACCAGACCAAGUUUCCAGGGCCCCAUCCAACCCAGUAAAGAGAAAAACUGAUGCUAGGCAACACAAACCAUUAAUUAUGCUGGAAAAUAAAAGAACCUAUGAAAAAUAGUAUUUGGAGUGGGAAAUCCAAACAGUAUGUUAGUUCUGAAGAGUGAGUGCACUGUAUUUCAAAGGAAGUAAUGUUGGUAAGUGUUGUGCUCCCUAUUAAAUAAAGCACUGGGAUGCUGCUCUCUGUGCAGACUGAGUCAGGGCCUCACUGCCCUCUGAGUGAAUAAUUUCUUCUUCAUAUCAAAUAUAAACCUUUUCUUUUCCUUUUUCCUUUUUCCUUUUUCUUUAACUUAAAACCACUAUCCAAUUUACAUUCUUUUAUUUUACUUUAGACAAAUUCAGAGAAAGAUACGGUAAUUCCAAAACUUUUCUCAUAUACUAUGGAUAGAAAAGUAUUAAAUGCAAAAUUAUUUGUAGUUGUCUUAUAUUUUUAAGCAAAAAUAGGAAAAAUCCACUAUUAGAUGCUAAAAUGAAAGGCUGAAAAAAUACUAAUUUAAAAGAUGAAAAUCAAAAUGCAAGGUUUUCAAAUCAAUCCCUAUUAAAAAGCCAUUUCAAGUAAUACUGAAAUUCCAGGGAUCUCAACCGUGCACUUUUUACUGAAUUAACUAUUCAUUUCAUUAUUCAUCUUUGUUUCUUGAGCCUAUCUGGAUAGAUUGCUCAUUCCUCUUUCGUGGGAAAGAAAUGACUUACUCAUUUUUUCUUGGCUGAUGUUGCAAUACAUCUUUCUGUAAAAAGGUUGUAGGACUGACAGGAACAAAGAAGGGAAAGAUGAACUAUCUUGAAGCUAUACAUUAGUACUUGGGCUGCAUGAGGAGAGAAAUUAAUGUUUCCCUCUUCCUUGUCUAUCUUAAAGUGGUUUGUAUUAGACAAGGUUGCUCAUAAUAGUAAUAACUUUUUAUUUCUGUGCUAUAAAUUAUUUCUGUUUUGUAGGAGAGCAUACAAGGCAUAGAACCUCAUUGUUUAACAAAACAUGGUCUUGCACAGCGAUAAUUUUCACUGGGUCAGCUCAGAGAAACUAGUGAAUCAAAGAGACUACUCUGCAGAAUUUUCUUUCUCUCCUUGUAUUCCCCAACUGAGCAGACACCCAUGUACCUUCCUUUUCCACAAUGAAAAAUAAUGUGAAUGUCAUGAAUUAACCUAUCAUAAAAUUUAUGUUCAUGAAACUUGUUGUCCAUGAUGAACAUCAUCAGCUCCCUGUCAGAAAUCCCUGUACCAAAUUUCUACAGCAAUAAAGAAUAAUGCAGAAGAGAUUUCUUUUUUUUCUAACCAAGAACAAAAAUAUUAUCUUGAAAUUACAAAAAUAAAAUAUUCUGAAAUAUACUGUGAUUCAAAACUUAAUACCUUCAAAUACAUUGCUUGCUGAGAUUAUCCCUCUGAAAUGUUUAGAAUUCUUAAUUUACCAGCUGUUCUCAUGCAGUGUAAAAGGAAGAAGUUACCUAGUUUCUCCUGCAUGGACAACUGGUUUUUAUACUACCUAUUUAAUCAAUCAUCUUUUUUCCAAGGUUGCUAACACCAAGGAAGGAGUCUGCUACCUGUAAUUUCAGAUUAGCUUCCAAAUGUAAAGGUACUUUCCACUAAUUCUGACUACCAUGCUCCCAACACAGUGGCUGCAACUGUCAUGAAUUAAAAAGAACUUUCUAAUUAAAGUAGUCUUAUGAUAUUAUGGAUUAGUCUCAGGUUGAAUUUAUGAAAUUAACGAGAGAAGACAUAAAAGUGGUGUCUACAUAUAGAUAUCUGUUAGCUGUGUGUCUAGUCUCCCAUUAAAACUAGUGAAGAUGUGGUCAUUAUAAUCAGUGAAGAUAAGAUAGAAGGUGAGAGACUCAUCUGACCCUAAUGUGAAGGUCUGCGGUCUCAGUUCAGCCAUACACAUGGUUAUCUAGUAUGGUUUGUGGUUUUUCUGCUUACCAAAGACAUUCAAAUGAGGCUAAUAUGUAAGACACAGACACAGAGGAGUUGUACUCUCCCAGAAUGGUAGCUGGACAUCAGGUACCUAGAAUAUUUCCAACAGUAUUAAAUGCGUAGGUAUGACAAAUGAUUUACUUUCCUUGAGCUCAGUAUGCCAAAUCUCUCUGGGUUACAGGUCUCCAACAACUAUAAGUGCGGCUUAGAUGUCUGCCUUCCAUGUAAACACUUAUAGGUAGUUAUUUAAACGUAACUAUUCUAAUUUAAAACUGAAUCCUACCUUACAAGCCUAUAACUAAGGACAUGGCGUGUAAUACAAGCUUGUCUAAAGUAUUCUUUAAAUUUUGUUGAAGGGAAAGUAUAAAAUUCCAUCUGAAGGCCUGAAAUAAACUUAUUUCAUAUCAAAAAAUAAGAGGAAAGUGUAAUUUCUACAGGUCUGAUGGCUGUGAAAAGGGUUAACACUUCAACAUACUGAAGCAAAUUGAGCAUAUGGGAAGAACUGCAGCUGGUAAGUCAAUGCCCAUUAUCACUCCCAGAUCACCUGGACCAGAACCAUUGAUUUACAACUCAUUGGCAGUUUUGUAUUCUGCAUGGGUGUGUUAAAAAGUGUUCACAGUAGCUAAGAGUUUAUUAGCUUUCUCUUUCUGAAGUAUUAAUUCCCUUAGGAAAAUAUAUAUAUAUUAAAAAAAAAAAAAAAAAAAAAUCCUAAGGCAUUUUCCCUCCAACAGCAGGCUUCAACUGACCACUGUAUUUUCUGAUUAUGAGUAACAUGCAGAUAUACUUGCAAAUAUAGCUCAGUGAUUCUUGAGCAAUAGUAAAUACAAAUGAUUCUUUUUCACAAUUAUGUUGUACCUUAUAUCCCCUCAUUGCUAUGGAGAACAUUCUUAAUUUUUAGAAAAACACACAAUUCAUUUUCUCUAAGUACUGAAAAACUAGGUAAUCAUUUAGCAUGCCACCUAUGCUGUAUGUGUCAUGCUGCCAAUGCUGUGGGAGGAAAAACUUGUUUCAUUUGACAAGAACAAAUUCCUAACUUCCAUUUUUACUUUGGGUUGAGACAGUGGGAAACUGGCAAAUUAAAAUGCGGUCAAAACGUUCCCAAGCACAUUACUGAAAAACUUUUGCUUUACUUGUUUUCUAGUCUUCUAAGAAGUUAAUGCUUUUUCUUAACAGGAAAAAGUCUGUUUAGCAAAACUGAAGAUGAAACAUUCAAUUAAUUGAAAUUGAACCAAUAUUUUUCACAGUUCUGUCAUUCUUGUUUUAUGCACUGUGUUGCUCUUCCUUCUUUAUGUUUUGUAUAUUCAAAGUAUGUCAACCCAUUGUAGUUUAACAAUACAUUCUAUUAUAUGAAUAUUAACAUUAAAGGUCUUUUCAGAUCUAAAUCCCUUUGUAUUCAACUAAUUUUGUUCCAAGUAAUUUAAAAGCCAAAAGGAAAGGUUGCUAUUAUUUGGCUUUCAUAGAGAUGAGAUACAUUACACAUAUUAAUAUCCAGAGAGAAUGCUUUGACUCAGAAAACAUGAGGUUAGCAUUUAGCAUCUUAAAUCCAAGAUAGUAAUCC
ensembl:lncRNA